GCUCGUAGUCGGAUUUCGGGGCGGGCCGACCGGUCUGCCGAUGGGUAUGCACUGGCCGGCGCGUCCUUCCACCCGGAGACCGCGCCUACUCUUAACUGAGCGGGCGCGGGAGACGGGUCUUUUACUUUGAAAAAAUCAGAGUGUUUCAAGCAGGCAGUCGCUCUUGCAUGGAUUAGCAUGGGAUAAUGAAAUAGGACUCUGGUGCUAUUUUGUUGGUUUCGAACACCGGAGUAAUGAUUAACAGGGACAGUCAGGGGCACUCGUAUUCCGCCGAGAGAGGUGAAAUUCUCAGACCAGCGGAAGACGAACCACUGCGAAAGCAUUUGCCAGGGAUGUUUUCACUGAUCAAGAACGAAAGUUAGGGGAUCGAAGACGAUCAGAUACCGUCGUAGUCUUAACCAUAAACCAUGCCGACUAGGGAUUGGAGGAUGUUCCAUUUGUGACUCCUUCAGCACCUUUCGGGAAACUAAAGUCUUUGGGUUCCGGGGGGGAGUAUGGUCGCAAGGCUGAAACUUAAAGGAAUUGACGGAAGGGCACCACCAGGAGUGGAGCCUGCGGCUUA
rnacentral:rRNA from 1 species